AUUGAACGCUGGCGGCAGGCUUAACACAUGCAAGUCGAGCGAGCGGCGGACGGGUGAGUAAUGUCUGGGAAACUGCCUGAUGGAGGGGGAUCACUACUGGAAACGGUAGCUAAUACCGCAUACCAUCAGAUGUGUCCAGAUGGGAUUAGCUAGCAGGGGGGGUAAUGGCUCACCUAGGCGACGAUCCCUAGCUGGUCUGAGAGGAUGACCAGCCACGCUGGAACGGAGACACGGGCUAGACGCCUACGGGAGGCAGCAGGGGGGAAUAUUGCACAAUGAGCGCAAGCCUGAUACAGCCCUGCCGCGUGUGUUAAGAAGGCCUUCGGGUUGGCAGGCACUUUCAGCGAGGAGGCAUUACUCGCAGAAGAAGCACCGGCUAACUCCGUGCCAGCAGCCGCGGUAAUUC
rnacentral:rRNA from 1 species